rnacentral:rRNA from 1 species
AUGUACAACAAUACUUUCGUUUCUUCUCUUUUCCCGAAACUUGAACCACUAGUCUUUUUACAGCAGAAGUACCUUUUUGUUUUGGUUGUACCAUCGGGUAAGCAUGGUUUUUGGGCUUUUUCGCAGUCAAUAAAGCUGUAUGAAUACAUUGUGAAUAUAUAUAUGUUUCUGAGGUCAAAGAAUGACACUGUAAAGUGUUUUUUUAGUGAGUUAUCCAUUCUAAUUUAUUUUUAUUUUAUUUUUUGCUUUUCCUUUUUUGGAUGUGUACAGGGGGUUUGUGGAGUUUGUUUCAACCAUUGCAAGUAUGAGACCGAGGGAAGCGGUUUCAACAUGUUUGCAUGGGAGGAGUUCAAGAAUGCAGGAAUAACUCACUCCUAA